CAUGAUAUUUAACAGUCAGGUGCUCAAGACUUUUUCAAAAACAACCAAAAAAAUGUGUUUAAAAAGCUUUUUUAUUAAAAUCACUCAUUUUUGUUUGAAGUGAAAAAGUUAUUUGCAAACAAACGUUUAUUUGCGGAUGUCAGAAUUUUUUAGUUGACAGCCUAAUGAAACCACCAAAUGUUUUCUCUGACAAUGGCACAGUUUGAAAAUGAGUUCCAGAGUGCAAUGGUUCUGAAAUGUACAGGUGUCCGUUGUCUUGUAAACAGAAUAAAUGGAUCUUUUCUGUCAGGGAAUCCCUAGCUCAUGCAUAUUCUAACGCAAAACAUAGCUGCUUCUUACAAUCCACA